rnacentral:rRNA from 1 species
AACGAACGCUGGCGGCAGGCCUAACACAUGCAAGUCGAACGGGAUCUUCGGAUCUAGUGGCGGACGGGUGAGUAACGCGUGGGAACGUGCCCUUUGGUUCGGAAUAGCCCUGGGAAACUGGGAGUAAUACCGGAUGUGGUCGAGAGACGAAAGAUUUAUCGCCAAAGGAUCGGCCCGCGUUGGAUUAGAUAGUUGGUGGGGUAAUGGCCUACCAAGCCGACGAUCCAUAGCUGGUUUGAGAGGAUGAUCAGCCACACUGGGACUGAGACACGGCCCAGACCCCUACGGGAGGCAGCAGUGGGGAAUCUUAGACAAUGGGGGAAACCCUGAUCUAGCCAUGCCGCGUGAGCGAUGAAGGCCUUAGGGUUGUAAAGCUCUUUCGUGGGGGAAGAUAAUGACUGUACCCCAAGAAGAAGCCCCGGCUAACUCCGUGCCAGCCGCCGCGGUAAUAC